rnacentral:rRNA from 1 species
AACGAACGCUGGCGGCAGGCUUAACACAUGCAAGUCGAACGCCCCGCAAGGGGAGUGGCAGACGGGUGAGUAACGCGUGGGAAUCUACCCAGAUCUUCGGAACAACUGAGGGAAACUUCAGCUAAUACCGGAUACGCCCUACGGGGGAAAGAUUUAUCGGUUCUGGAUGAGCCCGCGUUGGAUUAGCUAGUUGGUGGGGUAAUGGCCUACCAAGGCGACGAUCCAUAGCUGGUCUGAGAGGAUGAUCAGCCACACUGGGACUGAGACACGGCCCAGACUCCUACGGGAGGCAGCAGUGGGGAAUAUUGGUCAAUGGGCGAAAGCCUGAACCAGCCAUGCCGCGUGAGUGAUGAAGGCCUUAGGGUUGUAAAGCUCUUUCAGUAGGGAAGAUAAUGACGGUACCUACAGAAGAAGCCCCGGCUAACUUCGUGCCAGCCGCCGCAGUAAAAC